GUAGGUGGCAAGCGUUGUCCGGAAUUAUUGGGCGUCAAGCGCGCGCAGGCGGUUCUUUAAGUCUGAUGUGAAAGCCCACGGCUCAACCGUGGAGGGUCAUUGGAAACUGGAGAACUUGAGUACAGAAGAGGAAAGCGGAAUUCCACGUGUAGCGGUGAAAUGCGUAGAGAUGUGGAGGAACACCAGUGGCGAAGGCGGCUUUCUGGUCUGUAACUGACGCUGAGGCGCGAAAGCGUGGGGGAGCAAACAGGAUUAGAUACCCUGGUAGUCCACGCCGUAAACGAUGAGUGCUAAGUGUUAGGGGGUUUCCGCCCCUUAGUGCUGCAGCUAACGCAUUAAGCACUCCGCCUGGGAGUACGGCCGCAAGGCUG
rnacentral:rRNA from 1 species